UUUCCUACGGGGGGCAGCAGUGGGGGAUAUUGCACAAUGGGGGGAACCCUGAUGCAGCGACGCCGCGUGGGUGAAGGAGCGUUUCGGCGCGUAAAGCCCUAUCGGCAGGGAAGAAGAUGACGGUACCUGACCAAGAAGCCCCGGCUAACUACGUGCCAGCAGCCGCGGUAAUACGUAGGGGGCCAGCGUUAUCCGGAUUUACUGGGUGUAAAGGGGGCGCAGACGGCGAUGCAAGCCAGGAGUGAAAGCCCGGGGCCCAACCCCGGGACUGAUCUUGGCACUGCGUGGCUGGCGGGCAGGAGGGG
rnacentral:rRNA from 1 species